UGUUACCUACGGGACGCAGCAGUGAGGAAUAUUAGUCAAUGGCCGAGAGGCUGAACCAGCCAAGUCGCGUGAGGGAAGAAUGUCCUAAGGAUUGUAAACCUCUUUUGUCGGGGAGCAAAAAGGCUCUGCGGAGUCGUAUUGAGAGUACCCGAAGAAAAAGCAUCGGCUAACUCCGUGCCAGCAGCCGCGGUAAUACGGAGGAUGCGAGCGUUAUCCGGAUUUAUUGGGUUUAAAGGGUGCGCAGGCGGCGUGUCAAGCAAGCGGUAAAAUCGCGGGGCUCAACCCCGGCGAGCCGUU
rnacentral:rRNA from 1 species